rnacentral:lncRNA from 1 species
ACGUCAAAAACUAAAAACUUUUCAAGAUUUUUCAUCAUAUCGAAUCUUGCAGCAUAUAUAUAAAGCAUUAACUAUAGACAAAAACAAAAAUUAAUUAUACAGUUUGCCUGUAAAUCGUGAGAUAAAUCUUGACUCUAGUUAGUCCAUGAUUGGACAAUAAUUUCUAAAUAAAAACAAAAGUGAUAUAGUAUUCAAAACCAAAAAAAACAGAACUAAGCAAGGCCAAAUUUUUUCACUCCA